rnacentral:rRNA from 1 species
UACGGAGGGUGCAAGCGUUACUCGGAAUCACUGGGCGUAAAGCACGCGUAGGCGGGUUGUCAAGUCAGGUGUGAAAUCCUACAGCUCAACUGUAGAACUGCAUUUGAAACUGGCAACCUAGAGUAUGGGAGGGGAAGAUGGAAUUAGUGGUGUAGGGGUAAAAUCCGUAGAUAUCACUAGGAAUACCUAUAGCGAAGGCGGUCUUCUGGAACAUAACUGACGCUAAGGUGUGAAAGCGUGGGGAGCAAACAGG